UACGUAGGGCGCAAGCGUUGUCCGGAAUUAUUGGGCGUAAAGAGCUCGUAGGCGGCCUGUUGCGUCCGCUGUGAAAUCCCGGGGCUCAACCCCGGGCCUGCAGUGGAUACGGGCUGGCUAGAGGCAGGCAGGGGAGAACGGAAUUCCUGGUGUAGCGGUGAAAUGCGCAGAUAUCAGGAGGAACACCGGUGGCGAAGGCGGGUCUCUGGGCCGAUAUCGACGCUGAGGAGCGAAAGCAUGGGUAGCGAACAGG
rnacentral:rRNA from 1 species